rnacentral:rRNA from 1 species
AUUGAACGCUGGCGGCAUGCUUUACACAUGCAAGUCGAACGGUAACAGGCCUUCGGGUGCUGACGAGUGGCGAACGGGUGAGUAAUGCAUCGGAACGUGCCCAGAGGUGGGGGAUAACGCAGCGAAAGCUGUGCUAAUACCGCAUGUGAUCUGAGGAUGAAAGCGGGGGACCAGGCAGCAAUGUUUGGCCUCGCGCCUUUGGAGCGGCCGAUGUCAGAUUAGGUAGUUGGUGGGGUAAAGGCCUACCAAGCCGACGAUCUGUAGCUGGUCUGAGAGGACGACCAGCCACACUGAGACUGAGACACGGCCCAGACUCCUACGGGAGGCAGCAGUGGGGAAUUUUGGACAAUGGGCGCAAGCCUGAUCCAGCAAUGCCGCGUGCGGGAAGAAGGCCUUCGGGUUGUAAACCGCUUUUGUACGGAACGAAAAGGCUCUGGCUAAUACCUGGGGCUGAUGACGGUACCGUAAGAAUAAGCACCGGCUAACUACGUG